CUCCCGCCGGCGACCGGCGCACGGGUGAGUAACACGUAUGAAACCUGCCCGUAGCAGGGGGAUAAGCGGAAGAAAUUCCGUCUAAUACCGCGUAACAACCCAUGGAGGCAUCUCUGUGGGUUUAAAGGAAGCGAUUCCGGCUACGGAUGGUCAUGCGUCGCAUUAGCUUGUUGGCGGGGUAACGGCCCACCUAACCGACGAUGCGUAGGGGUUCUGAGAGGAAGGUCCCCCACACUGGUACUGAGACACGGACCAGACUCCUACGGAAGGCAGCAG
rnacentral:rRNA from 1 species